AACGAACGCUUGCGGCAUGCCUAACACAUGCAAGUCGAACGAGAUCUUCGGGUCUAGUGGCGCACGGGUGCGUAACGCGUGGGAAUCUGCCCUUUGGUUCGGAAUAACAGUUGGAAACGACUGCUAAUACUGGAUGAUGACGAAAGUCCAAAGAUUUAUCGCCAGAGGAUGAGCCCGCGUAGGAUUAGCUAGUUGGUGUGGUAAAGGCGCACCAAGGCGACGAUCCUUAGCUGGUCUGAGAGGAUGAUCAGCCACACUGGGACUGAGACACGGCCCAGACUCCUACGGGAGGCAGCAGUGGGGAAUAUUGGACAAUGGGCGAAAGCCUGAUCCAGCAAUGCCGCGUGAGUGAUGAAGGCCUUAGGGUUGUAAAGCUCUUUUACCCGGGAUGAUAAUGACAGUACCGGGAGAAUAAGCUCCGGCUAACUCCGUGCCAGCCGCCGCAGUAAUAC
rnacentral:rRNA from 1 species